AACAACAUCUCUCUGCCCCUUGGGAGGGUAGACGUGCCAGUGGCAUGGGUGUGCCACACUGUCCUAGCCAGCUCUAGUAUGGGCUCGUUAAUCAGGAGGGCUAUUCUUCUGCAGUCAGUGAAAGUGCUCAAGAUGAUGUUACCUUGGAAUAGAAGAGACUCUAACAACAAUUCAACACUGAUCUGAGCUGGGCAAAUCUCAUUUGAUACUACAGAGAACAGCAUGCAGCAACUAGAGGUCUAUAAAAGCCCCUGAGAGAUUUUAGCAGAAUUUCACAUUUGCAUGCUCACCCAGUUUGUGAAACAGACCCAUAUUACCUAACUGAAUGAUAUGAAGUCUUGGACUGAUGAUCAACACAGCUGCUUUGACCACUUGGCACUGUAAGAGGAUUCUGAAUAU